GUUGAAUGGUAAAAUACGGGCAGUGCUCCUUUCCAAGGAGAAUUGGCAUAGAUACUGCUGACAUCCCUUCUAUAAAGCAACAUGCUAAGCACCAGCCGGUAGAGACCAGAAAAAGAAGUCAAAGUGAAUGACACUUGAAUCUCAGUGGGGCGACCCAGACACAUCCUGAAGCAUCUCACAUCCCUACUGAACCAUGAAGGAUUCCACCACUGGCUCUACAGGUCACCAGUGUCAGCUCGGCAGAACACAGACCUCAAGCCUGAGUUCCCGCCAGCAUUUCUUCUUGCAAACCAUGAAGCAAGAACACACAGUCCUGCUUCCCUUCCUCCAACAAUCACUAUGAUUUGGAAGCAAAUAUAUAUAUAUAUAUAUAUA